ACCCUCUAUCUAGCCUUGCUUUCCCUCACAAAGGUUCUGUAUCUGCUCUGGAACCUGCUUGACUCCAUUCUGGAACCCGGCUGUUGGAGACCAGUGGCUGCUUUCUGUGAGGCUCCUUGGCCUGGACUCAGGACUCAGGCCUCCUCCAUUGACCAUGCCUGGCUUCAAGCACCACAUGAAAGCCAUCAAGGAACAUUUCAAGCGUCCUACACGGACCAAGCCUGACCCCAAGGGCUGCUUGGAAGCCGCCGGGGAACAUAUCAAGCCUCCUCCAUUGACCAGGCCUAGCUUCAAGGACCGCGUCAAAGCCGCCGUGAAACCUUUCUGUUUCAUGUUCCAAUGCGUAAAGCGCCAAAAGGACAAGGACGAUUGUCCAGG